GAGGAUCUAUACCACUUACACCUACAAGGCUUCUACACGUUCGACCACGAAAUACUCGCCAUGGCUCGAGAAGGCGAGAGAAUACCAGAGGAGAGGAGAAUACCAUCCCUGGCGCAGACUCAAGCGCUAGUAGUUAGGGAGGUAGCUCCAGCGGCGAAGAGGCCAGUUCAGAGGGGCGCCUCAAUAAAUGGAAGUUAACGCGGGCCCCAUCAAUGCCCCCCAGUGGUUCGAGGCUGAUGGGUUCGAGGUGGAGCACCUCCCUAGCAAGCUGAAACAUCACGGGGCCCUGGAGCGAAUCAUAAGCUACUACGGGAGCAGCAGGUAUCCUUAUGCACCUUUGCCAAGACACAAAGAGGGCACAUCAGAAUGUGAACGACCUUGGUGCCUGGAGCCAAUCACACCUCCAAGCAUAGGUUGUGCUGCCCCUCCGCCAAAAAUCUUGUACGUGUACAAUUUUCAGGCCUACCUAAGGAAAAAGCAAGGCAAUGGGUACUAUACCCUGAUGAAGUACAUAAUCCGAACAUGGUGUACAAGGCUCCUUGUAACAACGAGAGCCAUGCAAGGGACUACAAUGACAAUUUUUUCUUCAAAAAUGGCUUCCCGACGCGGACCAACCCAACCUUUAUCCUCGAGUUCUCUAGGGUUGGUCCCUAUCGUCGAACAUCCUAUGUUCAAGUGUAUGACAAUCACUUGCAAGAGAUGAAGAGCUUCCCUAAUGUGGAGCUGGAGUUGAGUCACCUGGUGAUGGAUGAUAACCUACUUGUCGUUGGACUUCUUUGAGAGGGACAACAUAUUGGCAAUGUCGACCUAACCCAGUACCGGAACUCCACUCAGUCCCGGGAGGAGGAAUCUCACCACAUCAAUUACAUUGAUGGACUUGCCCACAUCUAGCAUAACUAGAAGAUAUUAAAGAAGCGUUUCAAAAAUGCAAAAGUAGCCUGAGCAGCUACAAAAUCCUGGGAGAACCAAGACCUUGAGGAGGAGCUCUAGGCAGAGAUAGAGUCUUCAUCCAUUGAUCAAGGUAAGGGCAAUGACUGAGUCAACCAACCAUGAGUACGGAGAGCGUGAAGCGACGUGUACAUGUUUGGCCUGCCCGACUGCUUUGGUUG